GACGAACGCUGGCGGCGUGCUUAACACAUGCAAGUCGAACGGAAAGGCCCUGCUUGCAGGGUACUCGAGUGGCGAACGGGUGAGUAACACGUGGGUGAUCUGCCCUGCACUUCGGGAUAAGCCUGGGAAACUGGGUCUAAUACCGGAUAGGAGCCAUUUUUAGUGUGAUGGUUGGAAAGUUUUUUCGGUGUAGGAUGAGCUCGCGGCCUAUCAGCUUGUUGGUGGGGUAAUGGCCUACCAAGGCGGCGACGGGUAGCCGGCCUGAGAGGGUGGACGGCCACAUUGGGACUGAGAUACGGCCCAGACUCCGACGGGAGGCAGCAGUGGGGAAUAUUGCACAGUGGGCGCAAGCCUGAUGCAGCGACGCCGCGGGGGGGAUGACGGCCUUCGGGUUGUAAACUCCUUUCGCUAGGGACGAAGCUUUUUGUGACGGUACCUAGAUAAGAAGCACCGGCUAACUACGUG
rnacentral:rRNA from 1 species